UUUUAGAUAGUGUAAAAAACACUUAACAUUUUCAUUGUUAAAUUUCCGUUUUUGGAUUUAAAUCC
rnacentral:tRNA from 1 species